UGAAUACUCCCUCCGUCCGAAAAUAGUUGUCAUCAAAAUGGAUGGAAAUAGAUGUAUCUAAAACUAAAAUACGUCUAGAUACAUCCUUUUUUAUUUAUUUUGAUGACAAGUAUUUCCGGACGAAGGGAGUAGUGA
rfam:Triticum aestivum genome assembly, contig: Triticum_aestivum_CS42_TGACv1_scaffold_405163_5BL